rnacentral:rRNA from 1 species
UACGGGGGGAGCAAGCGUUGUUCGGAUUUACUGGGCGUAAAGGGCGCGUAGGCGCCUCCGCAAGUCAGUUGUGAAAUCUCCGAGCUUAACUCGGAAAGGUCAACUGAUACUGCGGGCUAGAGUGCGGAAGGGGCAACUGGAAUUCUUGGUGUAGCGGUGAAAUGCGUAGAUAUCAAGAGGAACACCUGCGGCGAAGGCGGGUUGCUGGGCCGAACACUGACGCUGAGGCGCGAAAGCGUGGGGAGCAAACAGGAUUAGAUACCCGUU